rnacentral:rRNA from 1 species
CCUACGGGAGGCAGCAGUGGGGAAUAUUGGACAAUGGGGGCAACCCUGAUCCAGCGACGCCGCGUGUGUGAAGAAGGCCUGCGGGUUGUAAAGCACUUUUAGUGGGGACAAAAAGCCACGGGCUAAUACCUUGUGGUCUUGAUUUAACCCCAAAGAAAAAGCACCGGCUAACUCUGUGCCAGCAGCCGCGGUAAUACAGAGGGUGCGAGCGUUAAUCGGAAUUACUGGGCGUAAAGCGUGCGUAGACGGUUUCGUAAGUCGGGUGUGAAAGCCCCGGGCUCAACCUGGGAAUUGCAUUCGAAACUGCGAGGCUAGGGUACGGAAGAGGGAAGCGGAAUUUCUGGUGUAGCGGUGAAAUGCGUAGAUAUCAGAAGGAACAUCAGUGGCGAAGGCGGCUUCCUGGUCCAGUACCGACGUUCAGGCACGAAAGCGUGGGGAGCAAACAGGAUUAGAUACCCUGGUAGUCCACGCCUUAAACGAUGAGAACUAGACGUUGGGAGGGUUAGCCUCCCACGUGUCGUAGCUACGACGCUAGUUCUCCGUCCGUGGGUAGGUACGGCCGCGAGGUUAGAACGUACAAGGAAGUUAGACGGCGUGAGACGUGCCGAACGGACGACGACGAGGGAGUAGG